rnacentral:pre_miRNA from 1 species
UUGAUUGAUUUGAAGACUUCAACUUGUAGACUUGAAGAAUUAGGAAAACUCAACUAGCAGACUUAAAGAAUUUGAAGACAUCAACU